UGGCUGUGUAUAAAUAUUUUAUUAGCAGACUAGUAGUGCAAAUUCAUAUCUUUAAUAUUAAAUUAAGCUCUACUCCGAGUAGAAACUCUAAACUUAAACAAGCUUUAGUUUUUUGCCAGUUUUGUGAUGACGGACAAAACAGCCUCCUGCGAACGUCGGCGUUCUCUACAGAUAAACUGCAUAUAACGCAAAUUCUAUUCUUUGAAGCAGGUGAAAUAUCCAGGCGACUAUAAACUUUUGUCGGUGUCGUUUCUUUGUCCGCCAUAUGCAAAUUAAUAAACACAAUGAAACCGACACGGAAGCUGUCUGUGGAAUGUCAAUCAGUUUUCGCGCCAAAUUUUUAACAAGAUUCAAAUCGCUGCAAGGGAAACAAGUCUGCCUCUCCCCUCCCUCCUCGCCCGCGCCGCCCGCCAUUUUCCCGCCCGCUUUUUUUCGCUCCUUUUCCGCUCGCCUGCUACUAAUAAAACUCAAGUAAAACUAAAG